GAUCUAGUGGCGCACGGGUGCGUAACGCGUGGGAAUCUGCCCUUGGGUUCGGAAUAACUUCUGGAAACGGAAGCUAAUACCGGAUGAUGACGUAAGUCCAAAGAUUUAUCGCCCAAGGAUGAGCCCGCGUAGGAUUAGCUAGUUGGUGGGGUAAAGGCCCACCAAGGCGACGAUCCUUAGCUGGUCUGAGAGGAUGAUCAGCCACACUGGGACUGAGACACGGCCCAGACUCCUACGGGAGGCAGCAGUAGGGAAUAUUGGACAAUGGGCGAAAGCCUGAUCCAGCAAUGCCGCGUGAGUGAUGAAGGCCUUAGGGUUGUAAAGCUCUUUUACCCGGGAUGAUAAUGACAGUACCGGGAGAAUAAGCUCCGGCUAACUCCGUGCCAGCAGCCGCGGUAAUACGGAGGGAGCUAGCGUUGUUCGGAAUUACUGGGCGUAAAGCGCACGUAGGCGGCUAUUCAAGUCAGAGGUGAAAGCCCGGGGCUCAACCCCGGAACUGCCUUUGAAACUAGAUAGCUUGAAUCCAGGAGAGGUGAGUGGAAUUCCNGAGUGUAGAGGUGAAAUUCGUAGAUAUUCGGAAGAACACCAGUGGCGAAGGC
rnacentral:rRNA from 1 species